rnacentral:rRNA from 1 species
UGCAAGUCGAGCGGCAGCGCGGGGGCAACCCUGGCGGCGAGCGGCGAACGGGUGAGUAAUACAUCGGAACGUGUCCCGUAGUGGGGGAUAGCCCGGCGAAAGCCGGAUUAAUACCGCAUAUGCUCUACGGAGGAAAGUGGGGGACUCGCAGGGGCCUCACGCCGUGGGAGCGGCCGAUGUCCGAUUAGCUUGUUGGCGGGGUAAUGGCCCACCAAGGCGACGAUCGGUAGCUGGUCUGAGAGGAUGAUCAGCCACACUGGGACUGAGACACGGCCCAGACUCCUACGGGAGGCAGCAGUGGGGAAUUUUGGACAAUGGGGGAAACCCUGAUCCAGCCAUGCCGCGUGCGGGAAGAAGGCCUUCGGGUUGUAAACCGCUUUUGGUCGGAAAGAAAAGGCGCACCCUAAUACGGGGCGCUCUUGACGGUACCGGCAGAAUAAGCACCGGCUAACUACGUGCCAGCAGCCGCGGUAAUACGUAGGGUGCGAGCGUUAAUCGGAAUUACUGGGCGUAAAGCGUGCGCAGGCGGUUCUCCAAGUCCGUUGUGAAAGCCCCGGGCUCAACCUGGGAAUGGCAGUGGAAACUAGGGGACUUGAAUCUGGCAGAGGGGGGUGGAAUUCCAUGUGUAGCAGUGAAAUGCGUAGAGAUGUGGAGGAACACCGAUGGCGAAGGCAGCCCCCUGGGCUGAGAUUGACGCUCAGGCACGAAA